rnacentral:rRNA from 1 species
GACGAACGCUGGCGGCGUGCUUAACACAUGCAAGUCGAACGGUUUCUAGAGAUAAGCUUGCUUAACUUAGAGAUAGUGGCGACGGGUGAGUAACACGUGGAUAACCUGCCCUUUAGACCGGGAUAACUUUGGGAAACCGGAGCUAAUACCGGAUAGAUUCCUAGAUGCGCAUGCAGCUGGGAGGAAAGGCUAGUAGCCGCUGAAGGAUGGGUCCGCGUCCCAUUAGCUAGUUGGUGGGGUAACAGCCUACCAAGGCGACGAUGGGUAGCCGGCCUGAGAGGGUGGCCGGCCACACUGGGACUGAGACACGGCCCAGACUCCUACGGGAGGCAGCAGUGGGGAAUCUUCCGCAAUGGGCGAAAGCCUGACGGAGCAACGCCGCGUGAGUGAAGAAGGCCUUUGGGUCGUAAAACUCUGUCUUUGGGGAAGAAAAAAAUGACGGUACCCAAGGAGGAAGCCCCGGCUAACUACGUG